rnacentral:lncRNA from 1 species
UUAGCACUACUUCCUUCAUGUUUCACUCAAUUGUUAUCCAAAUACAAUAUCAGUAAUCAUGGUGAUAAAAACAGUGUCCUGCUAUACAAGUGUUGCCCAGCACAAAUGAUAUCAAAUAUAAGUUGCAAUUGUUUUUAAAAAGGAUUCAAACUUCAAGGUCAUAGAAGAUGCAACCUAAACAGUACAGCUAUAAAUCAUAAUACAACACUACACUAUGAUUAAUAACCAUGACUAGUUAAAACUUCCUAUACAAAGUAGUCAAACACAUCAAAUCCAAAAAGGGACCUUCAGAUAAUAACUGGUAAUGCCUAAACAACCAAUAUACAUCACACUGCUCAUUGCCUAAUAAUGAACUUGCCGUGUAUAAAUGAACGGAUAUGAGAGUCAAUCAAAUUUCUGAAAAAAUGCUUGUCAAUUGGGUUAGCUGAAAAUUGGGGGUUAGAGCCAAAUCCAAAAAGGGACCUUCAGAUAAUAACUGGUAAUGCCUAAACAACCAAUAUACAUCACACUGCUCAUUGCCUAAUAAUGAACUUGCCGUGUAUAAAUGAACGGAUAUGAGAGUCAAUCAAAUUUCUGAAAAAAUAACAAUAUCUAUACCAAUUCUGAAAAUUGAAAACCCUAAAGCCUCAUAUAAUUAUGCUUGUCAAUUGGGUUAGCUGAAAAUUGGGGGUUAGAGCAAUUGGGUUCCAACAAGACAAAAGCUGAAAUUCAGAGAAUAUAUAAAAAUAUGAUUUCACCAGGCUCGAGCUGUGGUGGGGAAGAAAAGGUGAAAGAGGAAGAGAGAGUUCAUUGAAAC